CACCACCCUCCAGGGGAUGUCACUGUGACCGACUCAGUGGAGUGUUACAGUAAAAAACAAUUGUUCUGUGAGCAGACGCUGGACUCCCAAUCUCUCAAGUUCCGCUGCAGUCUCCAAGCCCAUUGCAUCUACCAGGGUACAUGUUGUUUUCCUUGGUCUUCGCGUUACUAAGUCCCAGUCUCCUGAAACUCUGCCCUGAUAUGAGCAUUCUAGCUGUCCCUUCUUAAUCAGGAAAGGCAAGAAAGCACCACUCCUCAACCAUGUGACACCUGCCUCCCCGCAUCCCUUUCCUGUCACUGUAUAUCUUCUUUUCUGGUUUCCUCAUUGUUGUGGACAAAUAUCCAGUUCUUAAGCUGCUAAUGACCCUCUGCCUGCCAUCCUCGGAGCGCUUCCAUUUCAGAAUUGUAGUUGCCAACUGCCCACCAGAGCAAGGCCCAUGAACGAAGGAAGAGAAGAAACUCCUCCUCUACCCACUUCUUCCCAGAAUGCUGUCCUCCAGCAAGCUCCAUCUGUCAUUCCGCCUCCAUCCCGUAGCCUGCCAUCCUGCAGCAGACUGAGCAGAGUGUAACGGAGAUGAUGCUUCACAGCCUGAGCGGAAACAAAGCCAGACAAAGAAACCCACAUGGCUGUAAGACAGGCGCAGAGGAAGCAGUUCCCUGAGAUGGCCGUGACGGCAGCUUAGCUCUAAUGGAGCUGAAGCCCCUGUGAUUCUUGUCCUGUUUCUCAGACACGUACAAUCUAUAUGUUCAGUUAAAUGCAACAGGAGGAAGUUGGGUGCACACACCUUUCAUCUCAAGCUGGGAAGCAGAAGCAGAAGGAUCCUUAUGAGGCCAGCCUGUUGUUUUAAGUCUCCAAGUUUUUGAGGGUUACGGUGUGCAGAGAUAAUUGAUGUAGACAGUAUUUGCCAAGACUGGGCAUGUUAGCAGGAUGCUUUGGAAGUCAUUAUGUGGCGUCUAAUCUAGGAACUCAGGCUUCUGCGGAGAACAAACAGGUUUGGAGAGAUCAAAUAUACAAAGAGAGAACAGCAACUAGACCUCUUCCCAGGUGUUGACAACCAAGAUUAUGUUAACCCACCAAAUGAAAGUGAAAAACUCUGAUGGUUUGUAUAUGUUCAGCUCAGGGAGUAGCACUAUUAGGAAGUGUGGCCUUGUUGGAGGAAGUGUGUCAUUGUGGGGGUGGGAUUUAAGAGAGCUUCCUUUUAGCUCACCUGGAAGAGAGUCUUCUCCUGGAUGCCUUCAGAUCAAGAUGUAGAACUCUCAGCUCCUCCAGCACCAUGUCUGCUUGGACCCUGCCAUGCUUCCUGUCAUGAUGAUAAUGGACUGAUCCUCUGAAACUGUAAGCCAGCCCCAAUUAAAUGUCCUUUAUAG